rnacentral:rRNA from 1 species
UGGGGAAUAUUGCACAAUGGGCGCAAGCCUGAUGCAGCCAUGCCGCGUGUAUGAAGAAGGCCUUCGGGUUGUAAAGUACUUUCAGCGGGGAGGAAGGGAGUAAAGUUAAUACCUUUGCCCAUUGACGUUACCCGCAGAAGAAGCACCGGCUAACUCCGUGCCAGCAGCCGCGGUAAUACGGAGGGUGCAAGCGUUAAUCGGAAUUACUGGGCGUAAAGCGCACGCAGGCGGUUUGUUAAGUCAGAUGUGAAAUCCCCGGGCUCAACCUGGGAACUGCAUCUGAUACUGGCAAGCUUGAGUCUCGUGGAGGGGGGUAGAAUUCCAGGUGUAGCGGUGAAAUGCGUAGGAGUCUGGGGGAAUACCGGUGGCGAAGGCGGCCCCCUGGACGAAGACUGACGCUCAGGUGCGAAAGCGUGGGGAGCAAACAGG